GCUUACGGCCACACCGCCUGGUUCACGCCUGAUCUCGUUUGAUCUCGGAAGCUAGGAUAGGUUGGGCCUGGUUAGUACUUGGAUGGGAGACCACCUGGGAAUACCAGGUGCUGUAAGAU
rnacentral:rRNA from 14 species